UUGAACGCUGGCGGCAGGCCUAACCCCUGCCAGUCGAACGGUAACAGGAAGCAGCUUGCUGCUUUGCUGACGAGUGGCGGACGGGUGAGUAAUGUCUGGGAAACUGCCUGAUGGAGGGGGAUAACUACUGGAAACGGUAGCUAAUACCGCAUAACGUCGCAAGACCAAAGAGGGGGACCUUCGGGCCUCUUGCCAUCGGAUGUGCCCAGAUGGGAUUAGCUAGUAGGUGGGGUAACGGCUCACCUAGGCGACGAUCCCUAGCUGGUCUGAGAGGAUGACCAGCCACACUGGAACUGAGACACGGUCCAGACUCCUACGGGAGGCAGCAGUGGGGAAUAUUGCACAAUGGGCGCAAGCCUGAUGCAGCCAUGCCGCGUGUAUGAAGAAGGCCUUCGGGUUGUAAAGUACUUUCAGCGGGGAGGAAGGGAGUAAAGUUAAUACCUUUGCUCAUUGACGUUACCCGCAGAAGAAGCACCGGCUAACUCCGUG
rnacentral:rRNA from 1 species